rnacentral:rRNA from 1 species
GACGGAAGGUGCAAGCGUUGCUCGGAAUCACUGGGCGUAAAGGGUGCGUAGGCGGCUUGGUGGGUCUGGUGUGAAAGCCCCGGGCUCAGCCUGGGAAGGGCACUAGAAACUGCCGAGCUGGAGUGCCGGAGGGGAGAGUGGAAUUCCUGGUGUAGCGGUGAAAUGCGCAGAUAUCAGGAGGAACACCGAUGGCGAAGGCAGGUCUCUGGGCCACUACUGACGCUGAGAAGCGAAAGCAUGGGGAGCGAACAGG